CCAUACACAAGUCUUGAAGAAAUACUCACACCACUCAAUAAGUAUCACACAGUUCUUGUUCGUGGUGAAAUUAAAAAGAAUUUUUUAAUCAAAAUACACAAGAAAAAACUUCCACUUCGAUGUUCAUUAAAUAAUUUAUUUAAGCUGUUUGUAUUCUUAGAAAACACCAAUUAUGAAAUAUAUAGUAAUGGUGACACAUGUGUUUAAAAUUUAGUAAAAAGAAAUUCAUGGUCCUAUCAGGUUGUCUCUUAUUAUGGAUUCUUUUAAGAGAUUUUUUGGAAAUGAUCCCCGUAAAAAUGGAUACACGCAACUUAUUUAUUGUAAUUAUUGCGGAUCUGAUACUCAUUUCGAGAAGAACUGCUCCAAGAAACGCGAUCAAGUGAAUAUUAAUAAAACCUAAUAUAACUUAAAAACAUUAUAUAAGCAAUUAGUAAUAAUAUAAUAUAUUAAAAUUCAUUCCGAAUAAAAAAAUUUUUUUAAUAAAAAAUGUUUACACAAUUUAUA